GCAGGGGUUUUCCCCCAGGCCUUCUGACCUGACACUGUGCUAUGCUAUGCUCUAUGCUAUGCUAUGCUAUGCUAUGCUAUACCAUCUCUAUGCUGGUAUGCUAUGCCA